AGUCGAGCGAGACCUUCGGGUCUAGCGGCGGACGGGUGAGUAACGCGUGGGAACGUGCCCUUUGCUACGGAAUAGCCCCGGGAAACUGGGAGUAAUACCGUAUGUGCCCUUCGGGGGAAAGAUUUAUCGGCAAAGGAUCGGCCCGCGUUGGAUUAGGUAGUUGGUGGGGUAAUGGCCUACCAAGCCGACGAUCCAUAGCUGGUUUGAGAGGAUGAUCAGCCACACUGGGACUGAGACACGGCCCAGACUCCUACGGGAGGCAGCAGUGGGGAAUCUUAGACAAUGGGGGCAACCCUGAUCUAGCCAUGCCGCGUGAGUGAUGAAGGCCUUAGGGUUGUAAAGCUCUUUCAGCUGGGAAGAUAAUGACGGUACCAGCAGAAGAAGCCCCGGCUAACUCCGUGCCAGCAGCCGCGGUAAUACGGAGGGGGCUAGCGUUGUUCGGAAUUACUGGGCGUAAAGCGCAC
rnacentral:rRNA from 1 species